rnacentral:rRNA from 1 species
UACGAAGGGAGCUAGCGUUGUUCGGAAUUACUGGGCGUAAAGCGCACGUAGGCGGCUUUGUAAGUUAGAGGUGAAAGCCCGGGGCUCAACUCCGGAACUGCCUUUAAGACUGCAUCGCUUGAAUCCGGGAGAGGUGAGUGGAAUUCCGAGUGUAGAGGUGAAAUUCGUAGAUAUUCGGAAGAACACCAGUGGCGAAGGCGGCUCACUGGACCGGUAUUGACGCUGAGGUGCGAAAGCGUGGGGAGCAAACAGG